rnacentral:misc_RNA from 1 species
AAAGGGCAAAAAAAUCCAUCACGUUCAACCGUUUGCUCGCCCAUUUGUAAUUGUUGACACGGGAAAGAACCAAACCAUCCGCUACAUUUUUGUCCACAAAAAUGGCUGCGGCCACUCUCUCCGUCCGGCCCAACCGUCUCUAUCUUGAUUGGCCCUUCUCCCGGCCACUGUUUCACCUUCCCAACUCCACCGUAACAAAUACCCAAAUAAAGUCCUUCAAGAAUGAGCCUUGGAGGGCCACAAUCGUCC